GUUCGACUCAGAGUUAACGAAGGGUCCAUGAGCAGUGUGGCGGAGCUACUUGUAGUUAGGGGGUGCACAUGGCACCGGGCACCCGGUUGCUGAAUGAUCUAGCUCCGCCAUUGCCCGUGAGGGUUUGCGUUCCGGAUCUGUUGAUUCUCUUUGAAUCUUGGCAAUUGAUGUGUCCAUCAA